UGACAAUAUGAUGAGUUUUUUCCUCAUCACCUUUCGAUAUGCAAAUCUCUUGCAUGCCACGCUCUAAAGACACUUUGUCGGAAAUUCAGCGAUUCCACUUGCAUUCGUAGCUUGUGAGGCAGUUCACUUUAGAUCGAGCUCGUCGGAGCAGCAUCGUUAAAGCUGUGGAGAUUGCACAACGGGAUCGCUUAGCGUAAAACUCCUACGGACUGGAAAAGCAAAAUGUUAGAGAUCUCAGAUUAAUGUCUCGAGUAUUUUUGUCAAUCCACACUGUCAACAAUUUUGCAUAAGUGGGCGAUUAUUUGUGCGAGAGAAUCACAAGCUGUAGCAUGGUUCUCCUUUGCUCCCCUGGGGUGGCACUUGACGAGCCAAUUUCUUUGGAGUGCUUGAGCUUCCGUGGAAGCUUUAACACCGAGUCAAUUCGCUAUGUUUCGUUAUGACGAGAUUGACGAGCUGUGAACGCAGUGCAAGUUCAUCCUUCUGCUCUGCAAGUGAACGCCACAGUGCUGCUUCAUCAGUCUGGCUAGGUCUUCCGUUACCAUAGGCAUGCAGGAACUCGAAUACGGCAUUCGAUUGGUGUAAAGACAUUCCGAAUGUGCAGUGGUCAGAAUUAUCUCUCGCCCUGCUUGGAGGCUUCAUUCGUGCUAUGACGAAAUACAAUUGAGCGGGACGUAGAGGGACCUCUUACAAUUCUGAUGGCCGAGUACGGGAAGUUAGGGUCGCCGUUUCGUAUCAGGGGAGCUUGUCGAUUUAGGAGUCAGGGAAAAGUCCGACGGCGACAGUGCUGAAAUUAUAAUAAUGCUGAUGAUUACUGAACGGUGUGAUCCAAAGGAAACGACGAAAGAGUGAUUGAGUGAUGAGCAAAUGCUGACAGCUUGGAAUAUUGGAACAUGUGAUAAGAUUUCAAGACCUCAGUGUGAAGAGGAGCUUGGGAGGAGGUGUGAGUGCAGUCGAUGUCGUCGUCGCAGCGAAUUGUACGAGGAGAAUGAAAGAGGAGGGUAGCUGUUCGAGUGAGAGUCAUGGAGCCAGAGGUCUUGGCCAAUGCGGGAAGUCUCCUGCUGUCUUCGUGUAUGGUGCGCGUCUCUCUAUCUCCCUCUCGUUUGUUUGUUUUGAGGAUCAUUUAAAGCUCGAUCACAAAUGCUAACAUUCAGAAGCAAAAUAUAUGCUUGAGAGAUCGAAUUUCAAGAAGCCAUCUUUAGUACUAUCAGUGCAUCAUCACAGGAUCUUUCAAACUAACAGCAAACAAGCUGCACAAACUGUAGAUGUCUAGAAUGAUUACUACGUAAAUUCCCUUUGUCUAUGCCUGAAUCUUCUGAUAAUCUCCAAAUUUAAUCUCCUGCUCACGCCAGAUUUGCAUGCCUUCAAUGAUCCGCAACAUGUUUCAGCAUGAGUUGGGACAUGAAUUGUUUUGUCACAAUGAAUGGUUUAGCCAUUAAGUUUUGGUUUGUUUCUAUUGUUUUCAAUUCUUCAAACAUUUUUUUUGCUUCUUCUUUGCCCUUAACUGAUAAUUUUAUUUAGAUUUUUAAAAAUAAUAAGUAUAUGCUAUUCAUAUUGUGACAACUAAUUUUCGAUGGACCGUUGUGAAACUUAAUUUUGAAGAUGUAAGAUUUAAAUUUUGUAACCAAAUUAUUUUAUAACGCAAACAUUCCUUCUUUUCUAUUAAAAAUUCUGUACCAUUUUUACAGUAUAAGUAUGGUCUAUAUUGGAAUAAUUAUUCAGAGUGUUUUUAUUUGGCACUGAAGGUUGAAAUCCACGUAUUUUGUAUCAGUUCAAACUUGCAAAGAUUAGUUGUGUUUUGAUUUUUUUAUGCUGCAGUGAAACACAGGGUAUACUUGUUCUUUGAAUACUGAUUACUAACACACAAAUACACUACAAAUGUGAAACCAGGAAAAAUUGUAAAGUAUAUAAGUUUUUACCACAAACCUGGAAGGUAUGAUUGAAACUGAUUCAAAUCAAGAUGAUCAUUAUUUUGAUUCAAUAUAAUUUAUUUUGAACUAC